UACGUAGGGUGCGAGCGUUGCCCGGAUUUACUGGGCGUAAAGGGCGCGUAGGCGGUCGUGACAAGUCACUUGUGAAAUCUCCGGGCUUAACUCGGAACGGUCAAGUGAUACUGUCGGACUAGAGUACAGAAGGGGCAACUGGAAUUCUCGGUGUAGCGGUGAAAUGCGUAGAUAUCGAGAGGAACACCUGCGGCGAAGGCGGGUUGCUGGGCUGAUACUGACGCUGAGGCGCGAAAGCCAGGGGAGCGAACGGG
rnacentral:rRNA from 1 species